AUGCCUCUUACUCUUGGGCAAAAAGAGGACUGUGAUAACAUGGUGGAAUGUCCGGCACCCACUUGUCGUGAGCCAGUGGAACCAAAGUCUGCAAAUAAAGGCCAUUUCUUUGUGACGAUAUCAGUUGAAGACCAAAUAUAUGAGAAACUACGAACUGAUGGAGAAAGUCUACUCUCAUACCGACAGAAUAGGGUUCAAAGUGACGAAGUAAUCCGGGACUCUUUCGAUGCCAUCACUUUCAAAGAACUAGAGAAAAAAGCUUCAGGAAAUUCAUCUUUUGUGACUAUAACUGGCAGUACAGAUGGUGCUGAGCCAUUCGAAAAUACACUUUCGUCUGUAUGGCCUAUUCAAUUUUUUCUCAAUGAGAUAUCACCUAAAGAGAGAUUAGCACCGUACAAUGUCCUCUUAGGGGGUGUUUGGUUUGGGAAAGUUGCACCUUCGAUGGCUACAUUUUUCACCGCCUUCAUUGCAGAACUUCAGAAGCUUGCGGGGGACGGCAUUACCUGGUUCCGAGCUGCACUUCAAAAACAUGAGGUGACCAAAGUAUAUUGCACUAAUUUUUGUUGCGAUACACCUGCCAAGGCAAAAAUCAUGAAUAUGAUCCUUUUCAACGGGAAAUGUUCUUGUUACUUCUGUCUUCAUCCAGGUGACCAACUUGAACACGACCCGAUGCAAAUACGUUAUGGUUACCGUCAAUCCUAUGAGCCAAGGACUGAUGCAUCGCUGCGGAAAAAUAUGGAAGAUGCUGAAGCAACUGGUGAAAUUAAGGAUGGUGUAUUAGGUAUGUCACCAUUGUACUACUUUCCUAACUUCUCCCUGCCGUGGGGAGUCACAAUCGAUAUUAUGCACUCCCACCUGAUUGGUGUUACAAAAUAUCUAGUUCUUAAUAUUUGGACAAAUUCUGAGUACAAUGCAUCCAAUUUUUAUUUGACACCUGAAAAAGUGGCAGCUAUUGAUCGCAGAAUUAGGGCCAUGCAUCCCCCGUCAAACAUAUCCAGAGACUUGAGACCCUUAUCUUCAUGUGCCAAAUGGAAAAGUAAUGAAUGGAGGAGCUGGCUUUUCUUCCAAGGACCAGUCUGCCUUCAAGGAAUAUUGCCUUUUCCGUAUUACAAGCAUUUUUGUAAAUUGAGUGCUGCAAUUUAUUUUUUUAGUUCAGAUGCUAUUGAUCGACGUCAAAUUGCAUAUUAUGGAGAUUUAUUAUCCUCUUUCGUUCGAGAAUUUGAGCAGUUUUAUGGCAUAAACCAUAUGACCUACAACGUUCAUCUUACUGAACACAUCAGAGAGUGCGUUACCAGCAAUGGCCCUCUGUGGUGUUAUGCCGCUUAUGUUUUUGAAACUGGAAUUCGUUACCUGUUAGAUCUCAUUCAAGGUGCAAGGAGUGUGCAGCUCCAGAUCACGAGGCGUUUUUGUUGCUUCUCCAGUCUCUCAAUUAUUGUCUCAUUAUAUCCUCCUCUUAAUGAGAUCGUCGUUGCCUAUUGUGAUUCUAUUUUGCCCCUUCGAAGAGUAAAGUUUGUUGGGCAUUGUAGAGAAGGCCUCACAAUAGUUGGGAAUAAAUUCAGAUGCAAAUUUAAUCCUUCAGCUGAACAAGCUGAUGCAAUGGAUUUAGCGGUACCUGGAAUUUUGGACAGUAAUAUCUAUGCUGUCAAAAAAAUUAUCUGGAAAGGAGGCAUUUACACAUCUGAAAAUCUGAAAGAAAAAAGGCGAGACGAUUCAUUCUUGCAGCUUUUGGACGGAAGAAUUUUGAAGGUUUCGCAGUUUUUCUUUUCUUCAAUCGACAACGAUGAACUGUACAUUCUUGGUAAACAACUUCGGUUUCAAAUCAAUAGCCGCGCAAGCUUUCAUCUAAAUGAUUUCCAUCUAAAAACGUGUGAACAGUACCGAUUUGAAGACAAUUGGGUCAUCGUUCCCGCCACAACGAUUCAGGCUAAAUGCUUCUUUAUGGCUUUACAAGAAGAUGUCUCUUUCCUCGCAACUUUUCCAAAUAAUUUUGAAAGAGAUUAG
rnacentral:lncRNA from 1 species